CCUACGGGGCGUAGCAGUGAGGAAUAUUGGUCAAUGGACGAGAGUCUGAACCAGCCAAGUAGCGUGAAGGAUGACUGCCCUAUGGGUUGUAAACUUCUUUUAUAUGGGAAUAAAAUGUUCCACGUGUGGGAUUUUGUAUGUACCAUAUGAAUAAGGAUCGGCUAACUCCGUGCCAGCAGCCGCGGUAAUACGGAGGAUCCGAGCGUUAUCCGGAUUUAUUGGGUUUAACGGGAGCGUAGGUGGAUUGUUAAGUCAGUUGUGAAAGUUUGCGGCUCAACCGUAAAAUUGCAGUUGAAACUGGCAGUCUUGAGUACAGUAGAGGUGGGCGGAAUUCGUGGUGUAGCGGUGAAAUGCUUAGAUAUCACGAAGAACUCCGAUUGCGAAGGCAGUUCACUGGACUGCAACUGACACUGAGGCUCGAAAGUGUGGGUAUCAAACAGGAUUAGAUACCCGAGUAGUC
rnacentral:rRNA from 1 species